rnacentral:misc_RNA from 1 species
GAUGAAGGAACGUAGCGAAAUGCGAUAAGUAAUGCGAAUUGCAGAAUUUCCGUGAGUCAUCGAAUCUUUGAACGCACAUUGCGCCCACUGGUAUUCCGGUGGGCAUGCCUGUUCGAGCGUCAUUAUCCUCCCUCAAACCCCGGGUUUGGUGUUGGACCGAAGUUGUGUGAACAACUGGUCUAAAAAACAAUGACGGCGUCCGUGGGACCCUCGGUGCAACGAGCUUUUAGGAGCACGCGCCGAGUUGCAAGGACCUUCCGGGCCGGUCUCCUUUUACUAUUUUACAAGGUUGACCUCGGAUCAGGUAGGAAUACCCGCUGAACUUAAGCAUAUCAAUAAGCGGAGGA